AGCUCUUUAAAGUGAUAAUUUAUGAAACUAUCGGCGUGGGUUUGAAUCCCAUUAGAGCUA
rnacentral:tRNA from 1 species